ensembl:lncRNA
ACCCCACCCGUGGAGGUGGGAGAAAUAUAUAAAUGUCUGUGUUCGUAGCCAGCACUUUCAGCCAGAGGAUUUCGGAUUGGAACUGAGGUUUUCAACUGAUGGGGUUGGCAUGUCGUCGAACAUUGGAAAGAGAUGCCAUUCUAUUGAUUUUCCCUUCACUUCAAAGAGGGAGCUAUCCGAUCAGCCAACAUCCGUGCAGCAGAAAAAAAGUCAAGCUGAGAUUCCAAUCCCAUCAACAUCUGCAGAUGCAUCAACAUCAAGCGCAGCACCAGGACCUAGUAUUUCCCAAUUGUUUUGAAAGCACUACAAAUCCAGAGAAUACAAAAUUUGCCCACAAAGAACCUCCGCGCGCCACCUUCCUGUCUAAGUGAGCACAGCACAACAAGAACUGAGAGAUGGCCAGGCCAUGGUGGAAGACACUGGCUGUUCACACCAGAACAGGAGACUUUUAUUGUGAACAUGGUGGUGGCAAACAGUACCAUUAGACUACGAGAAAUACAGAACCACAUAAUUGCAGACAACACAAUAACAUUCACCAGGUGGGCUUGUCUACAUUGGACCCUGUAUUACAGCGCAACCGAAUCCGG